AGAGUUUGAUCCUGGCUCAGGAUGAACGUUGGCGGCGUGUAUAAGGCAUGCAAGUCGUGGGAUAGGCUUUGUUAUAGCAAUAUAGUAAAGCACUGACCGGCAAACGGGUGAGUAACACAUUGGUAACCUACCUUCAAGACGGGGACAACUUGCCGAAAGGCGAGCUAAUACCCGAUAGUCAUGCGGGGACAAAUGUCAUUCGCAUGUAAAUCCUUCGGGGCUUGAAGAGGGGCCUAUGUCUCAUCAGCUAGUUGGUAGGGUAACGGCCUACCAAGGCUAUGACGAGUAGCAGGCGUGAGAGCGUGACCUGCCUCACUGGGACUGAGACACUGCCCAGACACCUACGGGUGGCUGCAGUCGAGAAUAUUCCGCAAUGGACGAAAGUCUGACGGAGCGACGCCGCGUGCAGGAAGAAGCCCUUCGGGGUGUAAACUGCUUUUAUAGGGGAAGAAUUAUUGACGGUACCCUAUGAAUAAGAGGUUGCUAACUCUGUGCCAGCAGCAGCGGUAAUACAGAGACCUCAAACGUUAUCCGGAUUCAUUGGGCGUAAAGGGUCCGCAGGCGGUUUGAAAAGUUCAUGGUCAAAUCUUGGGGCUUAACCUCAAGACUGCCGUGGAUACUCUCAAACUUGAGUUCGGGAGAGGCAAGCAGAACUAUCGGUGUAGUCGUAAUAAGCGCUGAUAUCGAUAGGAAUACCAAAGGCGAAGGCAGCUUGCUAGAACGAAACUGACGCUCAGGGACGAAAGCGUGGGUAGCGAAUGGGAUUAGAUACCCCAGUAGUCCACGCCCUAAACGAUGUGCACUAGGUAUUGGCAGUAUCGACCCUGCCAGUGCCGUUGAAAAAAGCUAACGCGUUAAGUGCACCGCCUGGGUAGUACGGCCGCAAGGUUAAAACUCAAAGGAAUAGACGGGGACCCGCACAAGUAGAGGAUCAUGCGGUUUAAUUCGAUGGUACGCGGCGAACCUUACCAGGGCUUGACAUGUCGCUGCAAGCUCUUAGAAACAAGAGCCCCCUUCGAGGGUGCGAACACAGGUGCUGCAUGGUUGCCGUCAGCUCGUGCCGUGAGGUGUACCGUUAAGUCGGGUAACGAGCGCAACCCCUGUCGUGUGUUAAAUGUUCACACGAGACUGCCUACGCAAGUAGGAGGAAGGUGGGGACGACGUCAAAUCAGCAUGGCUCUUACGCCCCGGGCGACACGCAUGAUACAAUGGUCGGUACAAUGGGUAGCCAAACCGCGAGGUGGAGCUAAUCCCACAAAGCCGAUCUCAGUUCGGAUUGAAGGCUGCAACUCGCCUUCAUGAAGCCGGAUUUACUAGUAAACGCGCAUCAGCCACGGCGCGUUGAAUACGUUCUCGGGUCUUGUACACACCGCCCGUC
rnacentral:rRNA from 1 species